rnacentral:rRNA from 1 species
GAUGAACGCUGGCGGCGUGCCUAAUACAUGCAAGUCGAGCGGACGGACGAGAAGCUUGCUUCUCUGAUGUUAGCGGCGGACGGGUGAGUAACACGUGGAUAACCUACCUAUAAGACUGGGAUAACUUCGGGAAACCGGAGCUAAUACCGUAUAAUAUUUUGAACCGCAUGGUUCAAAAGUGAAAGACGGUCUUGCCGUCACUUAUAGAUGGAUCCGCGCUGCAUUAUCUAGUUGGUAAGGUAACGGCUUACCAAGGCAACGAUGCAUAGCCGACCUGAGAGGGUGAUCGGCCACACUAGAACUGAGACACGGUCCAGACUCCUACGGGAGGCAGCAGUAGGGAAUCUUCCGCAAUGAGCGAAAGCCUGACGGAGUAACGCCGCGUGAGUGAUGAAGGUCUUCGGAUCGUAAAACUCUGUUAUUAGGGAAGAACAUAUGUGUAAGUAACUGUGCACAUCUUGACGGUACCUAAUCAGAAAGCCACGGCUAACUACGUG